rnacentral:rRNA from 1 species
GAUGAACGCUAGCGGGAGGCUUAACACAUGCAAGUCGUGGGGCAGCAUUUGGUAGCAAUACUGAGAUGGCGACCGGCGCACGGGUGAGUAACACGUAUGCAACCUACCUAUUACAGUGGGAUAGCCCGGAGAAAUUCGGAUUAAUACCGCAUGAAACUAAUGAGAGGCAUCUUUUAUUAGUUAAAAUUUUAAUGGUAAUAGAAGGGCAUGCGGCUGAUUAGCUAGUUGGUAGUGUAAUGGACUACCAAGGCAACGAUCAGUAGGGGUUCUGAGAGGAAGGUCCCCCACACUGGUACUGAGAUACGGACCAGACUCCUACGGGAGGCUG